rnacentral:rRNA from 1 species
GACGAGGGGUCCAAGCGUUGCUCGGAAUCAUUGGGCGUAAAGCGGGUGUAGGCGGCUUUAUAAGUCAGGAGUGAAAGCCCUGGGCUCAACCCAGGAAGUGCUUUUGAUACUGUAAAGCUUGAGUGUGGGAGAGGAUAGUGGAAUUCCAGGUGUAGUGGUGAAAUACGUAGAUAUCUGGAGGAACACCGGAGGCGAAGGCGGCUAUCUGGCCCAACACUGACGCUCAGACCGGAAAGCGUGGGGAUCAAAC